CCCCAUUUUUCAGGUGAGAAAUCUGAGGCACAGAAAGAUUAAGUAACCUGUCUGAGGUUGCAGGGCCGAUAAACGGCAGAACUAGGAUUU
rnacentral:miRNA from 1 species